rnacentral:rRNA from 1 species
AACGAACGCUGGCGGCAGGCUUAACACAUGCAAGUCGAGCGCCCCGCAAGGGGAGCGGCAGACGGGUGAGUAACGCGUGGGAACGUACCUUUUGGUUCGGAACAACUCCGGGAAACUGGAGCUAAUACCGGAUAAGCCCUAACGGGGAAAGAUUUAUCGCCGAAAGAUCGGCCCGCGUCUGAUUAGCUAGUUGGUGAGGUAACGGCUCACCAAGGCGACGAUCAGUAGCUGGUCUGAGAGGAUGAUCAGCCACACUGGGACUGAGACACGGCCCAGACUCCUACGGGAGGCAGCAGUGGGGAAUAUUGGACAAGGGGCGCAAGCCUGAUCCAGCCAUGCCGCGUGAGUGAUGAAGGCCUUAGGGUUGUAAAGCUCUUUUGUCCGGGAAGAUAAUGACUGUACCGGAAGAAUAAGCCCCGGCUAACUUCGUG